rnacentral:rRNA from 1 species
UUUAUGGAGAGUUUGAUCCUGGCUCAGAGUGAACGCUGGCGGCGUGCCUAAUACAUGCAAGUCGAACGAUGAAGCUUCUAGCUUGCUAGAAUGCUGAUUAGUGGCGCACGGGUGAGUAACGCAUAGGUCAUGUGCCUCUUAGUUUGGGAUAGCCAUUGGAAACGAUGAUUAAUACCAGAUACUCCCUACGGGGGAAAGAUUUAUCGCUAAGAGAUCAGCCUAUGUCCUAUCAGCUUGUUGGUAAGGUAAUGGCUUACCAAGGCUAUGACGGGUAUCCGGCCUGAGAGGGUGAACGGACACAUUGGAACUGAGACACGGUCCAGACUCCUACGGGAGGCAGCAGUAGGGAAUAUUGCUCAAUGGGGGAAACCCUGAAGCAGCAACGCCGCGUGGAGGAUGAAGGUUUUAGGAUUGUAAACUCCUUUUGUUAGAGAAGAUAAUGACGGUAUCUAACGAAUAAGCACCGGCUAACUCCGUGCCAGCAGCCGCGGUAAUACGGAGGGUGCAAGCGUUACUCGGAAUCACUGGGCGUAAAGAGCGCGUAGGCGGGAUAGUCAGUCAGGUGUGAAAUCCUAUGGCUUAACCAUAGAACUGCAUUUGAAACUACUAUUCUAGAGUGUGGGAGAGGUAGGUGGAAUUCUUGGUGUAGGGGUAAAAUCCGUAGAGAUCAAGAGGAAUACUCAUUGCGAAGGCGACCUGCUGGAACAUUACUGACGCUGAUUGCGCGAAAGCGUGGGGAGCAAACAGGAUUAGAUACCCUGGUAGUCCACGCCCUAAACGAUGGAUGCUAGUUGUUGGAGGGCUUAGUCUCUCCAGUAAUGCAGCUAACGCAUUAAGCAUCCCGCCUGGGGAGUACGGUCGCAAGAUUAAAACUCAAAGGAAUAGACGGGGACCCGCACAAGCGGUGGAGCAUGUGGUUUAAUUCGAAGAUACACGAAGAACCUUACCUAGGCUUGACAUUGAGAGAAUCCGCUAGAAAUAGUGGAGUGUUUGGCUUGCCAGACCUUGAAAACAGGUGCUGCACGGCUGUCGUCAGCUCGUGUCGUGAGAUGUUGGGUUAAGUCCCGCAACGAGCGCAACCCCCUUUCUUAGUUGCUAACAGGUUAUGCUGAGAACUCUAAGGAUACUGCCUCCGUAAGGAGGAGGAAGGUGGGGACGACGUCAAGUCAUCAUGGCCCUUACGCCUAGGGCUACACACGUGCUACAAUGGGGUGCACAAAGAGAAGCAAUACUGCGAAGUGGAGCCAAUCUUCAAAACACCUCUCAGUUCGGAUUGUAGGCUGCAACUCGCCUGCAUGAAGCUGGAAUCGCUAGUAAUCGCAAAUCAGCCAUGUUGCGGUGAAUACGUUCCCGGGUCUUGUACUCACCGCCCGUCACACCAUGGGAGUUGUGUUUGCCUUAAGUCAGGAUGCUAAAUUGGCUACUGCCCACGGCACACACAGCGACUGGGGUGAAGUCGUAACAAGGUAACCGUAGGUGAACCUGCGGUUGGAUCACCUCCUUUCUAGA